rnacentral:misc_RNA from 1 species
CUCUACUAUUAUCUAGUAUUACUAUAUUUUUCCAUUAACAUAAAAAAGCGUAUUCUUUCUCAUUUUUAUUGAAUAAAUAAAAGUAAGAAAUAAGCAAAAUUUUCAUUUUUAUCUAUUUUCAAUUGAAUUUAAAUUGUAAAAAAAAAAACUUCAUAAAAGAUUAGGAAAAGUAAAAGUAUAUGAUAUAGAAACCUAUAAUAUAAAUGAAUACAAAUAAAAACAAACAAAUCGAACCAAACUAUAAAAAGUACUUGUUAUUUUUAAAGUUUAAAGAAACUAUGUAAGGCAAAUAGUACUAAAUAAAAAAAGGAGCAAUAACGCCCUCUUGUUUUAUCAAGAGGGAAGCUAUUGCUCCUUUUUUAGUUCAAAAACUCCUAUACAAUCAGACCAAAGUC